rnacentral:lncRNA from 1 species
UCCCUUGUGGCCCUUAGUUCAUCGUCAGACGUCUUCAGGUCCAUCUUGGCUCGAUCUAAGUCUCGCUGAAAGCCAUUGAUGCUGUGAAGAGCGUCUUCGUGAUCAGUUCUUUCUCGAGCCAAGGUCGAUUUCAGCAUAUUGAUUUCUUGUCUCAUGAAAUCUUCCUCGGUUUCCCCAUUUAUGUGUCUUGGACGCAAACGUCCGAAGACAGCAUUGGCCUGCAUAUGUUCAAACAGUACUCAAGUCAAUACCCAAAUAUCCAAGUAAGAACAGAGAUAUAGAAAAUAAAAAAAUGCUUAUUUACCUUAGCCAGAUAGCUCAUCCCUUCAUCGAGCAGAUUCCCGUCUGAGUGAUCACUGAACCGAUGAUCGUCAGCGUUCCG